ACCGCAUCAGGGCAAAUCAACGGAAACGUUGAGACGCAAAGCCACGGGUCUACGGACGCGCGCCGUCUAUGAUCGCCGGGUUGCCGCA
rnacentral:ncRNA from 1 species